CCUACGGGGGGCUGCAGUGGGGAAUAUUGCACAAUGGGCGCAAGCCUGAUGCAGCCAUGCCGCGUGUGUGAAGAAGGCCCUCGGGUUGUAAAGCACUUUCAGCGGGGAGGAAGGCGGUGAGGUUAAUAACCUCAUCGAUUGACGUUACCCGCAGAAGAAGCACCGGCUAACUCCGUGCCAGCAGCCGCGGUAAUACGGAGGGUGCAAGCGUUAAUCGGAAUUACUGGGCGUAAAGCGCACGCAGGCGGUCUGUCAAGUCGGAUGUGAAAUCCCCGGGCUCAACCUGGGAACUGCAUUCGAAACUGGCAGGCUAGAGUCUUGUAGAGGGGGGUAGAAUUCCAGGUGUAGCGGUGAAAUGCGUAGAGAUCUGGAGGAAUACCGGUGGCGAAGGCGGCCCCCUGGGCAAAGACUGACGCUCAGGUGCGAAAGCGUGGGGAGCAAACAGGAUUAGAUACCCCAGUAGUC
rnacentral:rRNA from 1 species